UACGAAGGGGGCUAGCGUUGCUCGGAAUCACUGGGCGUAAAGCGCCCGUAGGCGGACUCUUAAGUCGGUGGUGAAAUCCUGGAGCUCAACUCCAGAACUGCCUUCGAUACUGAGAGUCUUGAGUCCGGGAGAGGUGAGUGGAACUGCGAGUGUAGAGGUGAAAUUCGUAGAUAUUCGCAAGAACACCAGUGGCGAAGGCGGCUCACUGGCCCGGUACUGACGCUGAGGUGCGAAAGCGUGGGGAGCGAACAGG
rnacentral:rRNA from 1 species